rnacentral:tRNA from 2 species
GAACCCGUAGCUCAGUGGUAGAGCGUUCGGUUCACAUCCGAAAGGCCAGAGGUUCGAUACCUCUCGGGUUCACCA